AAGAGAUUAUUGAUCAAUUUUGUAGAUUUUUUUUUUCAUUUGAUUCAAUAGUUGGGAGAUAGUUGAAAAAUGUGCGAGCAAAAGGAAGAAAUUUGUGAGCUAGAAACCUUGUGCUUGCUCUAGCUAUUGAGGAGAAGCCCCAAACCCAGAUCUCUCACCCCAUAACAAGGAGUUUUAGUGCUCAAUUAUUGACAAAUGCACAAGCAGCACCUGAGAAGAAAAGUAAGAAACCGCUAGGAAAAGUUGUCAACGGAGUUGUGGGGAACGAAGGCGCUCCAAAAGUUAAGCUAAGAAUAAUGAAUUUGUAAAACUAAAGAAGGAAGAUGUAAUUGUCAUUAGUGCUGUUGACGACGAGAAAAGCUAGAGGAGUACAAGAGAAUCAUCAAAGAAGACAGGAAAGACUCUAACUGUUGAAGUCAAUUCCGAAGCCACAGUGUAAAGUUUAAUGUACUCUUAGCGUAAAAUUAGGAAAGGGUGAAGGGGAACUUGUCCAUCAAAUGAUUGAAUAUAAGUUACUACUUGCUCAUC